GGUUGGAUAGCUCAGUCGGUAGAGCACUUGCCUUUGAAAGGCAAAGGCCCCGAGUUCAAGUCUCGGUCUGCUUCA